GGGUUGUACUAAUACCGCAUAAGACCACAGGGUGACAUCAUCUAGGGGUCAAAGGAGUAAUCCGGUAAGGGGUGGGCUCGCGUCCGAUUAGAUAGUUGGUGAGGUAACGGCCCACCAAGUCGACGAUCGGUAGCCGACCUGAGAGGGUGAUCGGCCACAUUGGGACUGAGACACGGCCCAAACUCCUACGGGAGGCAGCAGUGGGGAAUAUUGGGCAAUGGGGGAAACCCUGACCCAGCAACGCCGCGUGAGGGAAGAAGGUUUUCGGAUCGUAAACCUCUGUCCUUGGUGAAGAGAAAGAGACGGUAGCCAAGGAGGAAGCCCCGGCUAACUACGUGCCAGCAGCCGCGGUAAUACGUAGGGGGCGAGCGUUGUCCGGAAUGAUUGGGCGUAAAGGGCGCGUAGGCGGCCCGGUAAGUCUGAAGUGAAAGUCCUGCUUUUAAGGUGGGAAUUGCUUUGGAUACUGUCGGGCUUGAGUGCAGGAGAGGUAAGUGGAAUUCCCAGUGUAGCGGUGAAAUGCGUAGAGAUUGGGAGGAACACCAGUGGCGAAGGCGACUUACUGGACUGUAACUGACGCUGAGGCGCGAAAGUGUGGGGAGCAAACA
rnacentral:rRNA from 1 species